AAAGUAGUACUCUGGAUUCAGUAGCUGGACACUAGUUCCAUAUUUAAUAUUACUCUUGUUCUGCCUGCUUCAGAAAGCCUAGUGGGAUAAGAAAAGGCUUGUUGUAUCACACAACUUAUUGCUUCCUACGUAUGGAGCACAGCUCUUUUCCUAGCACCUCUUGCCACUUGGUUGGGUACACACCUCAAGGACAUGGCCUGUACACUGAAGUUGCUGCUGCAGGAAUGAUCUGCUGUUUUCCUGACGUUUCCACUCAGAGAUGCCACUGUACUUGGAGGAAUUUUGAAAUAUUCACACACAAACUGCUUCUGAGGAAAAAGAAGUCAUCUGGCAGGAUGAAAAAAACUAAUGCACUCUCUGAUAUGACAUUGUGUCAAGGCAUACAAAGAGAAGUCUUGGGAAUGGAGAUUAAGAGGGAACUUCCAGAUGUCACCAGAACACUAGCGAUGCAAGGCUGCUGGUACCUCAUGAUGCCCACAAGUAUGCAGCUGUCUACACCAACCAGCAGUGUGGCUGAGGAGUGGACCAGGUCUGAACUGUGCCAUCAGUGGAUCACCAGAAGGAAUCAUUGAAGAAGUUUUCCUUCUAUGUUGGUUUCUAAGCAAUGAGGAAGGUACAAUGCACUGCAUAACAGUAUACAAUAACUACCCUUAUGGAAGGUGGUUACAAAAGACCGUGAAAGAGAUGAACUUCAGAUCCAGGGUCACAAGGAAACUUCUUACAAUCAAAACUCUGUUUGCUCACCUCUGAUGUUUGCAGAAGUGACAACUAAGUCUGCUAGUUGAAGUUUUUCUACUAUACUGGAGAUGUCUGCAACCUAGUGUUCAGUGCAACUAAAUAGAAGACUGUAAACGUGAGUAGGAUCUAAGAUGAGCUACUACUGUUCAAAUUAGUGUGUCAAAGUCUUCCUUGUUCCCAAAAUGGCAUUUUACAGAAUUUCCUUAACUUAUAUUUUACUUAUAUUUUAUCAUAUAUUUUUGUAAAUGACAUCAAAAUAUGUGAAAUAUCAGAUUUUUCUAUUGAAAAUACAUGAAAUCACUGAAAUGAUGCAGUGGGUAGGAUAGGUUAGCUGCUGCCAGCCACUGCUUAGGGACCUGAUCAUCAUAGGUACUCUCAUGAAUGUUCAUUUAUAAUGAAUUUCCAGAGGCAUUUGACUGAAUAUUACAAUGCCUUGUAAUCAUGGCUGUUUCUGUAGUAAGAAACAGUAGUGUCAUUUUCAGCCCUGACUGCUUCAAAGAAUUAAAUUAAGAGUGGCAGGUAUUUUAGUGAGAGCUUAGCUAAUUGUAUAUCUGGAGGUGUAAUGAAGCCCUGAAAUAUUUCUUCCCCAUGAGAGGUGAGAGUGCUGGCUAUUACAAUAGCUUAGUUCUUUUUUGCUUGACAGUUGAAAGGCUUUUUUUAAAUAACACCAGGAAGUAAAGAGCUUUCCUAGGCACCCCUUUCCUUUCAGAAUGCUGGAUGCCCUGGCCCAGGAGAGGCUUUGAAACCUUCUCCUGUUUCUUCAACACUUGAUGGUGAUUGUUUGACUGGAGAUUUACAGCAGACUUGAAUCCCAAAGCUUUUAAACAGCUGAAGUUACAGAAGCUUGAAAUGGUGUUUGGCUUCAUCAGAGUGAUAUUGGUAUCAUCAUCCGACGUCUUUCUACAUUCCAGCAGUCAAAUGUUGCUACCACUGAAAACACCAGAACAGCUUAAAGAAAAAGCAGUUUAUAGGUCUUAUCCUCCAGGCAUGUUUGUGUAUGUCUGAACUCCAACCACAUCAGUAAUGUUACUAGCUUUAAUGGAAUCUCUCCUGUGAUAGUUUAUCGCAUGUAUAAGAAUUUGUAUGAUGAAGGCCUCAGUUAGUUAUCUCCAAGGGGAAGCAGCCAAGGAAGCAAUGAACAGGGAGGAAAGAAGAUUUCCCCUCCUGCUCUUACAGAUAGCCCCUUCCAGUUAGGGUUGAGAAGACCUGAUGGAGCCAGAGAGUAUGUAGGGGUAUGUCUGCAAAACAUCUGUUGCUUGCGCAGUGUUUUCUUUCACAGAAUGGGAGAAUCAUAGCGUGGCUGAUAUGGGAAGAGGCUUCUGGAGACUGCCUAGUCCAAACUCCCUGCUUGAGCAGGGUCAGCUAGAGGAGGUCACUCAAAGCUAUAUCCAAUCAGGUAUUUUUGAACUCCGAGGAGAAACAUCCAACAACUCCUCUGGGCAACCUGUGCCACUCUGAUCAUCUUCAUAUUGAAUUUUAUUUUUCUUAUGUUUAGAUAGAAUUUCUUGUGUUCAGUUUGUUUCCAUCGCCUCUUGUCCUAUCCCUGGGCACCACUGAUAUGAAUGUUGGUCCAUGAAAGUCCCAUGUUGCAUGUAAAUAUGUAGGCGACUAAAUUUGUACCCUUGUCUCCCCUCCAUCAUCUUUUCAUAAGAAGCUAAGAUGCAAGAAAAGAAAAAGAGAUUGCAUGUUCUUCACAUGAACAUUUUUGUAACUACCAAAUGAAGGGUUCCAUUGCUACUUGCUCCAUUAAAGCCACAAUACAACAAUAUUUGAAUUGACACUGCAAAACAGCAAAGCAGAAGUUCCUGCAGUCAAAAAUAAAAAGGGAUAUAAGUGUGGAGAUGCUUUAUGUCUGUAAGAAGAAGGAAUUACUGUGUAUACAUUAAGCAAAAUCCAUGUAUCUAUUAAGUAAGAGAUAAAAGGAUUGCAUCAGUGAUAAUGUUCCCUGAUAUAAUAACAGCAAAAAGGAGAAACUAUUCCAGAGAAGAAUCCAGUUCAAUAUUGAAAUAAUAUUUUCAAUUUAUAAAAUAUUCUGUCAGUAGUGAUUCUUUCUGUCAUUAGUUUUGUUACUACUGUUAUCUUCAAUGUCCCUAAUUCAGAUGUAAACAUAGUGAUAGCAUUUCCCAUGGCUGUAAGAACUGGCUUUGUGUGGAAAAGGAAAGAAUUAAAAGAAAAGUCAUUUGAAAGGAAAAAUCUUUUCUUCUUCCUUUUUCUUGUCCCUAAAAACAAAAGGAGUGGAGGUAUGACUAUCAAAAAAAGACCCAGCAAAACCAAACAACAACAACAAAAAUACCAAAAAAUCUUGGCAAAGAUGGAAUGUAACUUAUUGUGUGAAGCAACAGAAGGCAGUAAGCCAGGAAAAAAAGAGAUAAGAAUGUCUUUGAAAAUAUUAAAUUAUAGCAUGCCUUGAAUUAUCUCCUUUAAAUUCUUAAAAUGUUCGUAGUUAUUGUUUGAAUUACUGCAACGGAAAAAAUGCAUAUAAAGCAUAUAAUAAUAAAAGACUAUGUAUUUUUCUUUUACUCCACUGUAUUCUGUUCACUGUAGUAAAUUAUGUGUGUGCAUUGUCAUAUACAGGCAUGUAUGUCAUUAUACAUUUGCUAGGUCUUUAUAUUUUUGUAUAAUUAUUUCAUAUUUAAAAUUUUAAAACUAUACACUUUGCAAUCCAAUUUGCAGAAGUCCUACUAAGUCCGACAAAAAUGAACCUAGGAAAAGAACACAAACAAAGUUGUCUAAAACUAGCUGGGCAACUUACUUUCUGGAAAGAAUGUUUUGCAAAAGGGAAUUGAAAGAUUAAUUGCAAAGUUUUCUUCAAAACUUUAGAAGAUAUUCUGAUGUAAACCUUGAAAAUAAAAUGAAUGAAGAUGUAAUUGGUAUCUUACUUGUGUUCAACAGUAGUGUUUGAGCAGGUAUCAUAGUAUAAUAGAAUGGCCUGGGUAGAAAAGACCACAAUGAUCAUCAAGUUUCAACCCCCCUGCUAUGUGCAGGGUCACCAACCACUAGACCAGGCUGCCCAGAGCUACAUCCAGCCUGGCCUUGAAUGCAUCUAGGGAUGGGGCAUCCACAACCUCCUUGGGUAACCUGUUCCAGUGCAUCACCACUCUCUGUAUGAAAAACUUCCUCCUAAUAUCUAAUCUAAACCUCCACAUCCUAGUUUAAAACCAUGAGAAGAAGCAAUGGAGGCCAAUGUAGCAAAUCAGCUACAACUUCUGUAUACCUAUAAAGAUAAAUCCCAUUCUGUUCCUUAGGAGUCUAAUAGUGUACCAUCAUGUACCUGUGUGUAUUGUACAACAGUGACAUCAUUCGUACUGACUGGAAUAGGUAUCUAGAAGGAGG
ensembl:lncRNA